CCACAGCGACUGACAACAAAUACGGGAAGUAAAGGAAGACUCGAGGGAGGACAAAAAGUGUGACAAGUGUUCGUGGAGAGAAAAGUCAGUGAAGAGGGCGUGGAGGUUUCACACAGUUUCAGUCCCUGUUCCGAUCCUACCAGGAGUCGACUGGUCGAGAUUUUUACCCAUUGGAAAACGGACAUCGGUUUUCACCGGCAGAAGGAAUCGCUCAAUCACCGAUCCUGCUUUAUUGAUCUGAUUAUUGGACUUCAGAAGUGGAUUCCUGUCAAAACUCAGCAGAUAUGUCACAGGACACAAAAAUACAACUGACUUCCAUACCUGGCUCAGCUGAAGAGCAACAGGAGGAUGAUCCUAUGAUGAAACACCACAGGAAACAAAGGAAGGACAAAGAUAACAUAGAAAACUACAGGAAACUGGCCAUUUGCAGCAUCAUCUGUGGUUGCUCCUGUUUGGGAUACAAAGCUCUGGAAAAUUCAUUCCAGGUUGAUCAUGAAGAGGACAAAGACAAAAAACUGAAGUAUUCACAAGAGGCAAAGAAAUACGGCAUAAUCUCAAUUUUCACACUUAUUGGGAUCCUUGUCUUCAUUCCUGUGCUGCUAGUUUUCGUCUCAUAUCUUCUGACGUUGAGAGACUAAACGACUUCGGCAGAAAAGCAAAAAGAUUCUGUGAAAACCUUUGUAUUUUAUGGAGCAAAGUAACAAAAACAAAGCUGUGAUCAUUGAUUGUCAUUAGAAGUUACAACCACUACUUUUAUCUCCAGUAUUUAACGGAAACAAAACAGGCGGCUUUCAUGUUUUUAUACCGUGAUAUUUAUUUACCAUGUGGACGAAUUCCUUUUUAAAAAAUUAACAUGUAAAAUCCAGCAUUGCCUUUAAAUUUGACACAAUUUGAAAAGUUGAAGAUUUCCACACAUUCAGAAAAACUGAAUAUUUACAUGUCUUUUAAUGAGUGAAAAUCCUAAAGAGAGGCAAAAUAAACUUUCAAAAGCACCUUUAUAUACUGUAGCAACUCAUUCCUCAAUAUAGUUUAUUAUUAAAAGAAAUGUAUGAAUUGUUACUGUAUAUCCUAAAAUCACAAAUACAAGAGUGGAUAAAACAAUUUGAACUGUGUGAAAUAAAAACAAACGGCAUAGUGGUGAUUAUGGCAGUGCUUCAAAAUGACAUUUUCUUGGCAUUAUUGCAUUGUUACUUUACCUGUAUUUUUUAUUAAAUGUAUACAUAUACUGUACUUUUAUACAAACGCUGCAUUUUAUAAUAAAACAUGU